rnacentral:rRNA from 1 species
UUAAACUUCCAUACAACGUUGAAUUCACCGCGCACCGGUUCUCGUCCGAUCACCGAAAUUAAGCAACGUCGGGCGCGGUCAGUACUCGGAUGGUGACCGCUUGGGAACACCGCGUGUUUCAA